rnacentral:rRNA from 1 species
UACAGAGGUGGCAAGCGUUGUUCGGAAUUACUGGGCGUAAAGAGCGCGCAGGCGGCUGGUCAAGUCCGAUGUGAAAUCUCCCGGCUCAACUGGGAAACUGCAUCGGAAACUGAUCGGCUUGAAGGUGGGAGAGGGUAGUGGAAUUCCCGGUGUAGUGGUGAAAUGCGUAGAUAUCGGGAGGAACACCAGUGGCGAAGGCGACUACCUGGCCCAUUCUUGACGCUGAGGCGCGAAAGCUAGGGGAGCGAACGGG